GGUUAAGCGACUAAGCGUACACGGUGGAUGCCCUGGCAGUCAGAGGCGAUGAAGGACGUGCUAAUCUGCGAUAAGCGCCGGUAAGGUGAUAUGAACCGUUAUAACCGGCGAUUUCCGAAUGGGGAAACCCAGUGUGACUCGUCACACUAUCAUUAACUGAAUCCAUAGGUUAAUGAGGCGAACCGGGGGAACUGAAACAUCUAAGUACCCCGAGGAAAAGAAAUCAACCGAGAUUCCCCCAGUAGCGGCGAGCGAACGGGGAGGAGCCCAGAGCCUGAAUCAGCAUGUGUGUUAGUGGAAGCGUCUGGAAAGGCGCGCGAUACAGGGUGACAGCCCCGUACACAAAAGCGCAUGUGCUGUGAGCUCGAUGAGUAGGGCGGGACACGUGGUAUCCUGUCUGAAUAUGGGGGGACCAUCCUCCAAGGCUAAAUACUCCUGACUGACCGAUAGUGAACCAGUACCGUGAGGGAAAGGCGAAAAGAACCCCGGCGAGGGGAGUGAAAAAGAACCUGAAACCGUGUACGUACAAGCAGUGGGAGCCCCACCACCAAAGCAUUCUCUGGUGUUGAAGGCCCUGCAAAGCAGCAUCGCGGUGGCGGAGCGUCGUUUGCGACGCCCAACACACAAAACAAGCGGUGAGUGCUUUGGGGUGGGGUGACUGCGUACCUUUUGUAUAAUGGGUCAGCGACUUAUAUUCUGUAGCAAGGUUAACCGUAUAGGGGAGCCGGAGGGAAACCGAGUCUUAAUUGGGCGUUAAGUUGCAGGGUAUAGACCCGAAACCCGGUGAUCUAGCCAUGGGCAGGUUGAAGGUUGGGUAACACUAACUGGAGGACCGAACCGACUAAUGUUGAAAAAUUAGCGGAUGACCUGUGGCUGGGGGUGAAAGGCCAAUCAAACCGGGAGAUAGCUGGUUCUCCCCGAAAGCUAUUUAGGUAGCGCCUCGUGAAUUCAUCUCCGGGGGUAGAGCACUGUUUCGGCUAGGGGGCCAUCCCGGCUUACCAACCCGAUGCAAACUGCGAAUACCGGAGAAUGUUAUCACGGGAGACACACGGCGGGUGCUAACGUCCGUCGUGAAGAGGGAAACAACCCAGACCGCCAGCUAAGGUCCCAAAGUCAUGGUUAAGUGGGAAACGAUGUGGGAAGGCCCAGACAGCCAGGAUGUUGGCUUAGAAGCAGCCAUCAUUUAAAGAAAGCGUAAUAGCUCACUGGUCGAGUCGGCCUGCGCGGAAGAUGUAACGGGGCUAAACCAUGCACCGAAGCUGCGGCAGCGACACUGUGUGUUGUUGGGUAGGGGAGCGUUCUGUAAGCCUGCGAAGGUGGCCUGUGAGGGUUGCUGGAGGUAUCAGAAGUGCGAAUGCUGACAUAAGUAACGAUAAAGCGGGUGAAAAGCCCGCUCGCCGGAAGACCAAGGGUUCCUGUCCAACGUUAAUCGGGGCAGGGUGAGUCGACCCCUAAGGCGAGGCCGAAAGGCGUAGUCGAUGGGAAACGGGUUAAUAUUCCCGUACUUGGUGUUACUGCGAAGGGGGGACGGAGAAGGCUAUGUUGGCCGGGCGACGGUUGUCCCGGUUUAAGCGUGUAGGCUGGUUUUCCAGGCAAAUCCGGAAAAUCAAGGCUGAGGCGUGAUGACGAGGCACUACGGUGCUGAAGCAACAAAUGCCCUGCUUCCAGGAAAAGCCUCUAAGCAUCAGGUAACAUCAAAUCGUACCCCAAACCGACACAGGUGGUCAGGUAGAGAAUACCAAGGCGCUUGAGAGAACUCGGGUGAAGGAACUAGGCAAAAUGGUGCCGUAACUUCGGGAGAAGGCACGCUGACACGUAGGUGAAGUGAUUUACUCACGGAGCUGAAGUCAGUCGAAGAUACCAGCUGGCUGCAACUGUUUAUUAAAAACACAGCACUGUGCAAACACGAAAGUGGACGUAUACGGUGUGACGCCUGCCCGGUGCCGGAAGGUUAAUUGAUGGGGUCAGCGCAAGCGAAGCUCCUGAUCGAAGCCCCGGUAAACGGCGGCCGUAACUAUAACGGUCCUAAGGUAGCGAAAUUCCUUGUCGGGUAAGUUCCGACCUGCACGAAUGGCGUAAUGAUGGCCAGGCUGUCUCCACCCGAGACUCAGUGAAAUUGAACUCGCUGUGAAGAUGCAGUGUACCCGCGGCAAGACGGAAAGACCCCGUGAACCUUUACUAUAGCUUGACACUGAACAUUGAGCCUUGAUGUGUAGGAUAGGUGGGAGGCUUUGAAGUGUGGACGCCAGUCUGCAUGGAGCCGACCUUGAAAUACCACCCUUUAAUGUUUGAUGUUCUAACGUGGACCCGUAAUCCGGGUUGCGGACAGUGUCUGGUGGGUAGUUUGACUGGGGCGGUCUCCUCCUAAAGAGUAACGGAGGAGCACGAAGGUUGGCUAAUCCUGGUCGGACAUCAGGAGGUUAGUGCAAUGGCAUAAGCCAGCUUGACUGCGAGCGUGACGGCGCGAGCAGGUGCGAAAGCAGGUCAUAGUGAUCCGGUGGUUCUGAAUGGAAGGGCCAUCGCUCAACGGAUAAAAGGUACUCCGGGGAUAACAGGCUGAUACCGCCCAAGAGUUCAUAUCGACGGCGGUGUUUGGCACCUCGAUGUCGGCUCAUCACAUCCUGGGGCUGAAGUAGGUCCCAAGGGUAUGGCUGUUCGCCAUUUAAAGUGGUACGCGAGCUGGGUUUAGAACGUCGUGAGACAGUUCGGUCCCUAUCUGCCGUGGGCGCUGGAGAACUGAGGGGGGCUGCUCCUAGUACGAGAGGACCGGAGUGGACGCAUCACUGGUGUUCGGGUUGUCAUGCCAAUGGCACUGCCCGGUAGCUAAAUGCGGAAGAGAUAAGUGCUGAAAGCAUCUAAGCACGAAACUUGCCCCGAGAUGAGUUCUCCCUGAGACUUUAGGUCUCCUGAAGGAACGUUGAAGACGACGACGUUGAUAGGCCGGGUGUGUAAGCGCAGCGAUGCGUUGAGCUAACCGGUACUAAUGAACCGUGAGGCUUAACCUU
rnacentral:rRNA from 1 species